AUGUCGUGUCGAACCCUCGUCGUUGUCUGGACUGCGCAGUGUUACGUGGCGGGAGCGCCGUCCAGUUUGCCGCCACCCUCACACACGGCAGAUUACAUGCUUUCUCUUUCUCUCAGCAGAGCGUUUAAAGACGGGUUAUAUGGUCGCGAAUUCAGUUUACAUUCCAGUGAGCAAAUGGAGUCCGGCAAAUUUGCUCCAACAUCACCUAAACAGAUGAAGUUGGACACAGCUGAACAGCACACAUUCAGAAGCGGUUUUGAGCCUGACAGCAGCAAAACACACAUAAUUUCAGCUGAAGAUGAAAAGCUGCUGCCACAGUGCUGCAUCUCACAAGAAGAAAGUGUAAUAGAAGAGUCAUUCAGAAAGGGAGAGAGAAAAUAUUUUACCAGGGAAAAUGUGUCUCACAGAGAAGAUGACAAAGUGUUACAUAUGAUGACUGUUACAGGAAAGGGUUGGAAAGACCCAGGGCAGUGCAAAGAGAGCUUGAAUAAUAUACUGCCAGUCAAGCGUGCUCUUGCUUCAUGGGAUGAGGAUGGUAGCCAUAUCCUCGAAGCAGUUCCUGUGACUUCAGAAGGAUCAAACAUGGAAUGUAAACCUGGACUUUAUGGAAACCAUUUAGAAAACGGGGCAAAAUGUUAUCAGAUUCAUACAGAUUCUGAAUCUCCAACUCAUAAUGGAGCAAAAAACUUUCAAAUAUCAGAUAAUAGAGGAAGUAAACCCAGCUAUGAGAUUUAUGUGCACCCAUAUGCAGAGAUGUGUAAUUGUGGAGAAACAGUAGCUGAAUUUGGACAAGACUACAUGGGUGACAGAGGAACUGAGGUCAUGGAGAGCAUUGAUGCUUUGAGUAUUAACUAUAAUCUUACAUUAAGAAGAGAUGUAUUUGAAAUUAAUAAGGCUAAGGUCUGCGUAGAUGUUGGAUUACCAGGACAUUCUGACACUAAUCCACGUCAAGAUCCUAUUGAUGAAACAGUUGGUACUUCUGAACCCUUGGUGAAAGGUGAAGCCUAUACAGAUGAUACAGAAGAGAUACUGACUGUAAGUCUUUAUGAAAGCGUGAUUAAACAUCAAGAAGGGUCAUCUGAAAUUUAUCAUGACCAUGAUGCCAGUGAAAUGGCUGAACAUUGUCUUGGCACACAGAAGGAAGUUUGCACAAGAGAUGCCAAUCAUUGUAGCUUGCCCUGCUGGAACAUACGUGAUCCUGCAAAUCACGGUUCAUACGCUUGUGAAGCUCCACAAGAUUCCACUGAGGACAGACAGAUUAAAAACCAAGAUGCCGUUACAGAUCUCCAGGAGGUUGUGGGGAAGACACUAAUUAACAUUGUAAGUACAUUAAAAAAUACAUUAAAAACAACAGCUGAGACUAGUGUCACACCCAACAUCAAGGCUGGGUUCCCAGACACAAAUGCAAAGCCUUUGGAAUGGGAAGCAACGGAGAACAGCCUUACAAAAGCACAUAUUCACUCUCUUUUUGACUACAUAGUUUUUGACUCUUUCAACAAAGUAGAACUUGGAAUUGAUACUGGGAAUGAAAAAAAUCUGCUUCUCAGCUGCUCUCCAAGUAAAGAGUCACCUGCACGUGACACACUUCAGCCUCUUCCAGAGAUGCAUUUCACACCUGACGAUAAGGAAGACAUUGCUGCCACCAAAGGUGGAAGUCCACUGAGGUGCACUACGAUUCCCAAAUGUCUCCUACACAUCACCAUGGAUGAGGAUGAAAAUUAUGAUAUUGGGUGUCCACAACACCAGAACACUGUUUCACAAGAUGCCUUUACAAAACUGGCACUUCCUACUUAUGAGCUUCAGGAGAAUUGUGAUCCAGUUCUCAAUGACAUCCCUAUGUUUGAAAUGAAAGAAAAGUUUAAUCUAGUGCUUGAAGAACAGCAGAGGUCAGCAUGUGGUCAGCAUGUGUCAUGCCAAAAAAGGUCUGAAUUGGGUCAUAUAAAUGAUGUGGACAGUUGCAGUCUUCUGUCAGAAGAAAUGAAGGACAUAAGACAGAUCUACAGCCACAGCAGAGAGGCAGAGGACAUUAGAGCUCCAAACAUCCAAAAAGAUUCUGAGCAGGAGGUGCCUUUGCAUGAGAGUAAUUUCAGCCCAGAAGAGGAAGAUUCAAUGUACUCUAAUACAAAAGAUGGAGAAGCAAGAAAAUCUGAGAAGACUAAUCAGCUCUGGUCCCCAGCCUUCUCCAAUUUGCCCUCUCCACAGCAGCCCAGUCUAGAACAAGCCAGACCCUCUAAAAGACUGGAGCCUUUGAGGACCUGCACACGUCCAAUAAGGGUUGGACUCUCAAAGAAGGCAAAGACAAAAUGUUUGCAUCCCUGUCUGAAAUGAGUUUUUCAGGUAUUUCCAGUGAGUUCAGAUUUCUGCAAAAUAAUUUUUCAUAUUUGUUUGUAGCUGUUCCACUACACUGAAUUUCUUUAAUGUCAUAAAGAGUGGUGGUGAACUGUGACAGGCAGUAAAUGGCACUUAUGUAAUGAUGUCACCAUUGAGGAUGGUUUCUGUUGUUUCUUGUGUUUUCCAGCUCUGUUGAGCAUUUUAUUACAACAUCCAUCUCUGUCUAUUUAAGAUGUAAUAUCUAGGAUUGCUAAUAUACCAUUAACAUAUUAACAUCAACUUAUAUUUUAUAGUCAGUGUUUUGGACAUGUGUUGAACAUAUAUAGGUAUUUUUAUGGCUUAUUCUUGUUGCUCAAUUAUUUUAUGAAAGACAAAAGGUGUUUGAUUACAUAAUGUAAUUAAGCAAACCAAAAUUCACUUGCAUUUGGAUGAGUGCUUCAAGGCAGUUGUCAGUGGAUUAAAAACAUUUCAUGAUCUCUAAUAGAUUUGCACUCUACACACUGAAAAGGUGUUCAUUUUUUUCUGGGAGCAAUUAUUUGAAGAUCAUCCUUUUUGUUGCAGAUUUUACAUUGUCUUACUAUAUAUAUACAAUCAUUAAAACAGUUGCUCUCGACACUUGCUCCAGUGGCAAAUUCUUUUUGAAUGCAAGUUCUUAUUUACUGAAUGAUUUGGUUCUCCCAAAACCUGGUCCUGUAAAAGCCAUACCCAACAUGAGGAGACAUCAAAGCUCUGUACAAGGCCAGAAGCUUACACUGCCUUUUUGAAGUCCCAUCAGAAAUUAAUCUUAACCUUACUGCACAGAUGCCCCUCCAUUUUGUAAUUCAUUUACAAAAAUGACAGUGUUCAGUAAUUGCUUAAUCAUAAAACAAUUAUGGACAUAAAAAGUGACAUGCAAGCAAACAAACAUGAGAAUAAGGUAAUGAUGAAUAGCA
ensembl:lncRNA